rnacentral:lncRNA from 1 species
CCCUGUGUGGAUCAUCGUUGGAGGGUGAAUACUUGGGCACCUGGUGGAGAUUCUGUCAGAAUUUGGAUCAAGCGCUGCAGAUAUUCUUCUAUAGUUUAAAUUUUAUUUUGAACAUAUGAUAUAUAUAAUUAUUAAUCAUCAAGGAGAUACUAGUUUAUAGGUUUAAUAUUUAAGAUUUUUUAAUUUAAAUUUUUAAAAUCCGUUAUGCCU